rnacentral:rRNA from 1 species
AACGAACGCUGGCGGCAGGCCUAACACAUGCAAGUCGAGCGCGCCCUUCGGGGUGAGCGGCGGACGGGUGAGUAACGCGUGGGAACGUGCCCUUUUCUACGGAAUAGCCUCGGGAAACUGAGAGUAAUACCGUAUACGCCCUUUGGGGGAAAGAUUUAUCGGAAAAGGAUCGGCCCGCGUUGGAUUAGGUAGUUGGUGGGGUAAUGGCCUACCAAGCCGACGAUCCAUAGCUGGUUUGAGAGGAUGAUCAGCCACACUGGGACUGAGACACGGCCCAGACCCCCACGGGAGGAAGCAGUGGGGAAUUUUAGAAAAGGGGGGCAACCCUGAUCUAGCCAUGCCGGGGGAGGGAUGAAGGCCUUAGGGUUGUAAAGCUCUUUCAGCGGGGAAGAUAAGGGCGGUACCAGCAAAAGAAACCCCGGCUAACUCCGU